rnacentral:rRNA from 1 species
UACGAAGGGGGCUAGCGUUGUUCGGAAUCACUGGGCGUAAAGCGCUCGUAGGCGGAUCUUUAAGUCAGGGGUGAAAUCCCGAGGCUCACCUCGGAACUGCCUUUGAUACUGGGGAUCUCGAGUCCGGGAGAGGUGAGUGGAACUGCGAGUGUAGAGGUGAAAUUCGUAGAUAUUCGCAAGAACACCAGUGGCGAAGGCGGCUCACUGGCCCGGUACUGACGCUGAGGAGCGAGAGCGUGGGGAGCAAACAGG